ACCCUACGGGGCGCAGUAGUGAGGAAUAUUGGUCAAUGGGCGGAAGCCUGAACCAGCCCCUUCUCUUUCUUUCCUCCUUCCCUCCUGGUCGUCAACCUCUUUUGCCGUGUCUCCAGGGCCGGGACGCGUCCCGGCCCGGAGAGUACCCGGAGAAAAAGCAUCGGCUAACUCCGUGCCAGCAGCCGCGGUAAUACGGAGGAUGCGAGCUUUAUCCGGAUUUCUUGGGUUUAAAGGGUGCGUAGGCGGGCUUUU
rnacentral:rRNA from 1 species